ensembl:lncRNA
GGAACUUUGCAGAGCAACUCUAGCUAAAAUAAUACUGUUCAACCGAAGACGUGGAGGAGAGGUUGCAAAGAUGCAAUUAAAAGGCUUCCUAGAAAGGGACACAGCUGCCCUACAUAUUGAAGUUGCUGUUGGAGUCACAAAGUUUGAACAAAAACUUUGUGCACAUUUCAGUCGGGAGGAAAUUAGUGGUAAAAGGGGGCGAAAGGUUGCAGUGUUGCUAUUGUCAGACAUGGUUGAUGCCUUAACAUGCCUCAUAAGCAGAAGAAAAGAGCAUGGAGUCCCAGAAGAAAACAUAUUCCUGAUUGCAAGACCCAACUGUUUGACUCCUUAACGAGGACAAGACUGUCUGAGGAUUUAUGCAAAUGAGUGUGGUGCGCAAAACCCUGAACUUCUCAAGUCAACAGAAUUACACAAACAUGUAGCAACUUUGUCACAGGUCCUAAACCUCAAAAACCACGAGUUGGACCAAGUUGCUGACUUUUUGGGCCACGAUAUUCGUGUCCUCAGAGAGUAUUACAGGCUUCCUGAGGCUACAACCCAGCUGGCCAAAAUAUCCAAACUACUACUUGCCAUGGAGAAAGGUUCACUUACAAAUCUUCAGGGCACAACAUUAGAAGAGACUGAAAUUGAAGGUAUUGCUAUUAAAGUUGUUAUAAAUUAUAUUUUAUAGUUUAGUGUAAAGGUUAUCAAGUAUUCCUAGCCUAAAGAUAAUCCCUUGCAUACAAACCUUAAAUUUUUAUUAUUCAAUAAUAUUUAAUAUUCAUCAAAUUUCAGCAUGAUUAUUGUUAAUUUUUUUUACUCUAACAUUUGCAAUGUUCAACUUUUCCGAUGGUCAAAAUGUUUAUAUUUUGUUAGAGAACAUAGACUUGACUGAUUCUGAGCAAAGUGAAGACACUGAUGAUGAGGAGACAUAUCCACAGACACCAACAGAAAUGGGAAUGAACAGAGCUAGGCGACCUGUUGAGGAACCUCUAGGCACCCCAGAUGGUAUGAGCAUCAACCUCAGUCUACCAGCAUGUCCAUUGAGGUUUGAUUCAUUUCAUGUAGACCAAGCACAACUACUGCUUGUUAUAGUAUUUUAUUUUUCCGUUCACAGAUGUUGACUCUUCCCUAGGAGGCUCAUCUCAAGGUAAACUGGUUGGCGCUUAUUGACGGGGCACAUGUGCGCGACUGCACCUGGCACAUAUUGAAGAGGGUGAUUGCCAACUCAUUGGCAAAGAACCUCCAUUGGAGGGGAGUCAAUGUAAAGACUUCACUGGUCACUCUCCAACUCGCAGAGGUCGUAAUUGGUAAGUAUAUCUGUUUACAUACAGAGUUAUCUGUCUCUCUCAGAUGAUAUGUAAGGAGUAAUCCACGGCUAGGUGUGCAUUAAACGAUUUUAAUGCAUGAUGUGGAGGCAAAGAACCACUCGUUCAAAUCGUUUAAUGCACACCUAGCCAUGGCUUAUCCUAGUUUUACCAUGGUCUUUCCGCAAUUAAAGUUAAAGCUGUCAUUUGAUUUUACAUUACACUCGACUCCAUAAUAUCAAGUUGUAAAUAAUGCAAUGAAAUUAAAAAUCUGACUUUAUGGUUGCU